GAUGAACGCUAGCUACAGGCUUAACACAUGCAAGUCGAGGGGAAACGGCAUUGAGUGUUUGCACUCUUUGGACGUCGACCGGCGCACGGGUGAGUAACGCGUAUCCAACCUUCCCAUUACUGUGGGAUAACCUGCCGAAAGGCAGACUAAUACCGCAUAGUCUUCGAUGACGGCAUCAGAUUUGAAGUAAAGAUUUAUCGGUAAUGGAUGGGGAUGCGUCUGAUUAGCUUGUUGGCGGGGUAACGGCCCACCAAGGCUACGAUCAGUAGGGGUUCUGAGAGGAAGGUCCCCCACAUUGGAACUGAGACACGGUCCAAACUCCUACGGGAGGCAGCAGUGAGGAAUAGUGGUCAAUGGACGGAAGUCUGAACCAGCCAAGUAGCGUGCAGGAUGACGGCCCUAUGGGUUGUAAACUGCUUUUGUAUGGGGAUAAAGUUAGGGACGUGUCCCUAUUUGCAGGUACCAUACGAAUAAGGACCGGCUAAUUCCGUG
rnacentral:rRNA from 1 species